AACGAACGCUGGCGGCAUGCCUAACACAUGCAAGUCGAACGAGACCUUCGGGUCUAGUGGCGCACGGGUGCGUAACGCGUGGGAACCUGCCCUUAGGUUCGGAAUAACUCCCCGAAAGGGGUGCUAAUACCGGAUAAUGUCUUCGAACCAAAGAUUUAUCGCCUUUGGAUGGGCCCGCGUUGGAUUAGCUAGUUGGUAGGGUAAAAGCCUACCAAGGCGACGAUCCAUAGCUGGUCUGAGAGGAUGAUCAGCCACACUGGGACUGAGACACGGCCCAGACUCCUACGGGAGGCAGCAGUGGGGAAUAUUGGACAAUGGGCGAAAGCCUGAUCCAGCAAUGCCGCGUGAGUGAUGAAGGCCUUAGGGUUGUAAAGCUCCUUUACCCGGGAUGAUAAUGACAGUACCGGGAGAAUAAGCUCCGGCUAACUCCGUG
rnacentral:rRNA from 1 species